CACCGUUGACGUUGACGGUGGGAAGAUUCAUCUUUUUUGGCCGUCAACGGCACGAUCACAGGACAUGAACAAUAAGGUGUGUCAUAAAAAAUAAAAACUGACAAGAUUUGUCAAAACAAACUAAAUAAUUAUUUGUUUAUGUUUCUAAAUACAGAAAACAUUCUCAAGUUUUAAAAUACCUAUAAUAUUUAAUAUUUAAUAUGAUAUUGAAGUACAGUCAAUUAUAUUUAUGGUAAUGCCAAUAUAGAUGUCUAUUGGAAACAUUAGGGCAUAGAGCUUAUGCAAAAUCGCGAGUUCCUUUAUAGUCUAUAGCAUAAAGUCCAUAAAGAUUACAAAAACGCAAGGAAACAAAGAUGCACCAUGAGAGGAAAUUACCAAAAGAAAUGGAUGUGAUCCUGAUCGUUUUAGAAAAGGAAAAAAAGAUUUUUGUGCUAGAAUUGAGGCAUCAGAAAGUAACUGACCUUCCUGCAAUUAACGACACUUUUUUACUGAGCACAGUGAGCACUCUGGAUAUAAGGACCUUUUUACAACAUUCUUCCAAGUUUAGUGUCAGUCUAUAUAUUUGUGGUUUAUUAAUUCUUAUAAUUGUUUUAUAAGGGACAUUUAAGGCUACAAAGGAAAUUUAAAAAAUGAAGGCAGCAGAACAUCUUCCACCGUCUCUUAUGCACCUAUUGAAAUUAUAUUUGAGGACGUGCAAGUACUUGGAAAGGGAAACGAGAAACGACCGUGCGCGAGUCGCGGAGAAAUAUUGCACCUAUCUUAAAUAAUUCAUAUUGUCAAUUGAAAUUGUCAAAUUGACGUAUAUUUCAUACCUUCUGUCAUUGACGCAGAAAAAUUAUAUAUUGCUCCACAAUAUUGAUAUGAUAUGCAAUUAUUAUAUAAAGGUAAAUUUAAUUAAUUGUAUUUUGCUUGCAGUACUGCAUUUUAAUAACUGAUUUUAUUUACUACAUACAAUUGUUUACGUUUGCUAAACAUAACCUGCAUCUUAUUUUUUCUUCUUAUUAUUUUUUGGACUAUGGUCUUGACAAUUAUCCAGCAACCAGGACUAAUAUAAUUGGCCAAUAUAAUUAAAAGUGCGAAUAAAAGUACAGAGCGUAGAAAUAGAGGUCGCUUUGCCGAACUUGCACGGUCCCAAUACCAGACACAUCACAAGAUGUGCACACAUUUAACUCCAGAAAAACCUAGUCUGUUAGUUAUUUUCUUUUAUGUUCAGUACUUAAAAGUGAGUUUUCAUUUCUUACAGUAUCAAUUAGGGCAUUACACUUAAAUUUAAUCACUGCUUCAUAAAAAAUGGUAAAUAGUCUUGUUUCUCAAGCAGAAAAAACUAUCUUAAAUAAUACAUUUUCUCAAUAUGUUUGUGCAUGCUUCAAGGCAUUGAAUCCUGAAGGUGCUGCUGAGGGAGCGUUCAAGUAUUACGUAACGCGAUUUUAGACCCACCCUAUGAAAAGCACUGUAAUGGGUGUUUAACUAUUACGUAUCCCAAUUUUUGACCUCCCGCAUAAUACUUGAUAUGUAAUACUUGAACGGCCCUUGAGGCAAGGAAGCAGAUAUGUUCGCGUUUUUUCUUACAUUGUUAUUAAUUUAGUUUGUUGUUUUAAUGUUUUAUAGAUUACUUAGUUUGUUUAUUGAUAAUAAAUAAAACAAUUCAUUGUA